GAACUGGCACUUAAGAGGAAUAAGUGGUGGAGAAAAGAGAAGGGUUAGCAUUGCCUUGGAGAUCUUGAUGAGGCCUAGAUUGCUCUUCCUUGAUGAACCUACAAGUGGACUUGACAGGUACUAAGGAGACUAUUGGACUUUGGCAAGAAACUUCCUAUUCCUGAUGCUCUUCUCAUCAAUGGGCAAAGAGAUUCUGCUGUCUUUAUCAGUCAAGCAGGGAAGACUUACAAAUUCAGAGUGUCCAAUGUUAGGUUAAGAACAUCAAUCAACUUCAGGAUUCAAGGCCACUCAUUGAAACUUAUUGAAGUUGAAGGUGCUCACACAUUACAGGACACAUAUGAGUCCCUUGAUAUUCAUGUGGGUCAAUCAGUGGUAUAGUUGAACAAUACAAUUUGAGUUUAUAUUUUGAAUUAUAGUUGAUGUAUCAACACACUUUGAUGUAUGGUUGUUACUUAUUAUUAUAGUUGAUGUUUCAAUACACUUUGUUUAUAUUUUGAAUUAUAUUGACUUCUUAUUUAUAGUACUUUUCUUUUAGUUUGAUAAUACGAUGAAUUUGUUUAUUUUUUGAAA